UGGGGAAUCUUGCACAAUGGGGGCAACCCUGAUGCAGCGACGCCGCGUGAGCGAUGAAGCCCUUCGGGGCGUAAAGCUCUUUCGACCGGAACGAUAAUGACGGUACCGGGAGAAGAAGCUGCGGCUAACUACGUGCCAGCAGCCGCGGUAAUACGUAGGCAGCAAGCGUUGUUCGGAGUUACUGGGCGUAAAGAGUGCGUAGGCGGUUUUCUAAGUUCGGUGUGAAGUCUCCCGGCUUAACUGGGAGGGUGCGCCGAAGACUGGGAAGCUGGAGUGUGGGAAAGGCAGGCGGAAUUCCUGGUGUAGCGGUGAAAUGCGUAGAUAUCAGGAGGAACACCGGCGGUGUAGACGGCUUGCUAGACCAUAACUGACGCUGAGGCACGAAAGCGUGGGUAGCAAACA
rnacentral:rRNA from 1 species